GGGGAUGUGGCUCAGCGGUAGAGCGCUCGCCUAACACAUGUGAGGUGCUGGGUUCAAUCCUCAGCACCACA
rnacentral:tRNA from 1 species